UACACUUGCCAGUUGUUUCCCAGCAGCUCUUCCCCUGCCACGUAGGGCUACGAAGGACCAGCGGCUUUCUUAGUAACUUGAUCCUUGAUUUGACAGGGCGUCUGUGGGAGAGCAGUUGGGCCAAACUACCUCCAUGUCCCUCUGACUUCAACUGUAAGAGAACUUUCUAUACCUUUCUCACUUAUUGAACCGUCAGCAGUGCUUUGUCUUUGCUAAAGCUUAGUCUUUCUCAAACUUAUACUGCCUAUAACGAAGAGCCCGUGGAAUCCGGAGCGUAAUGUCUACAAACUUCCUGAGAAGAUAUUUCUGACUCCCGGCAGCUGUGGCUCUCUAACCAGAAGGAACGAGACAUAUUUCUGGGGUUUUCCUGUUAUUUAUAUGGAUGAAACUGGUUGUCGGAGGCAUACAAACGAAGGGUAGUAAUUCAAGUUCCUGUAGGUACUGUGAAGACAUAGGGCAAGCUGUUGCGGAGACACCAUGAGGCAGCUUAAAGGCAAACCCAAGAAAGAAACAUCCAAGGAUAAGAAGGAGCGUAAGUUGGCCAUGCAGGAAGCGCGACAGCAAGUGGCCACUGUAGUCCUACCUACAUUGGCUGUGGUGGUGCUGAUCAUUGUGGUCUUUGUCUAUGUGGCCACUAGGCCUGGUGCUAUUGAGUAGACAUAUCCAUUAAAGAGACAUAAACUCUUAAAGUAACCAGGCUUUGACAAACUGACAGGCUAUAGCUACCCAUAAUAUGGCUCUGUUGUGACUGACUUACCAUUUGUCAUCAUGAAAACCCCCUCCAAAAUGUUUUUUGCUUUAAGACAAAUGAAUAUGACCCAAUCGUUUACAUCAACAGAUGGAUUCAUGUUGAUCUGUUGCAUAACUAUGCUAUAUCAGGCAUACCAAAGGACUUGCAUGCAACCUGUCAGGUGUGUCCAGAAAUGUUUAAAAAAAAAUGUGUUGUCUCGUGUUGCAUUUUGACCAGCACUCUCCUCCAGUACCUGCAUGAAUAAUGUUUGAAAAAAGAACUUAAGAAGUUUGUCCAUUGUAGAGUGUUUUCUCUGAAGCCCAGUAUGUUUAUACAUCGAAAUGUUUUCAUGUAUAAUGUCAGAAUUGCCCUAUGAUAUUGAGUCACUCGUGACAUCUGUGCAGAAAUAACAAGGUGCCUUAACAGAGCUGCAACUUUUACUUUACUGCACUGCUCUUAUUCAGUGUUUUAGAGUUCUUGAUUUCUGCACAUUUAUCUGUUUAUGUGUCACACAACCAGAAAAAAGUGUACGUCUGAGCAAAAAGUAAUUGUCUUGGUCAUAAAAGGGUAAUUAGGUAGAUUAGGACUUGACUUGUCUCUGUUGCGCCAGUUUGUCCAGUAGCCUAGUAAACAUUUUGAAAUCAAGUGCACAAAUGUUGUGCUAAGGGCUGUUUUUUUACAUUUGGAUAAAUAUUGUUUUUCAAAAAUAAAAAACACAUGGCCAAGUCCAAAUCCAUUUUUGCUAGUUUAAUGGCAGAAAGAAAAGUUGCUGAACCAGGUACUAACCCUCUAACAUGCAAUAUACCAAUUUGAGUGCCAUCUCCUAUUCCCUUUUAAAAGUUAUGUGCACUGCACUUGCACCUUGCUAUUAUAAGGACAGGUAAAUAGAUGUGUGUGCUACACAUUCAUGUUUCACACUUGCCUAUGUGGGUGUGGAUUACUACUAUGAUGAUGGGCCUUUACAUACGGGUGGGAAGUAUGACAACAGUUUCAAGAUUUUUUUUUUGUCAAGCAGGAUCACAAUCUUGUAUACUUUUUCAUGUUUGAAACAUUUGUAUAUAUUAUAGCCUGACAAGAAAAUAAAACUAAAACAAAAUAAUGAUACAGACCAUUUAGGCAAAGUACCUUUUCAAAUAAAUUCAAUCAACUAAGUACAUUCAAUGAGAAUGACUUGUAAUCAGUUGAAAUUAGAGUUGGUAUGAAUCUCAUCCAAAAAUGAAAGUUGGUGUCAAAAGUUAAACAGCACACAAGUAAAGUGUACUCUUUCUACAUAAACCUUAACAAAAUAAGACAGAUUCUCAUCAAAACCAAAAUUUUGCAUAACUCCCAAACAAACAUUGGUUUCAAAAGUAUCAUUAGUUGUGCAGUGCACGUGAGUCAUUGCCUGUAAAACAUCAGAGACACAACUAUAUGAAUAUGAUUCAGUUUUAAUAAGGAAAGUAUCUUACAGGAAUAUUUUUGAUAUACUGUACAAACCUGUUGAUGUUUUAGAUAUGUGGUAUAAAAAUAACAAUUACAACCUAUAACUUCUAAUCACUACCAUUAUUCAAUUCAAUCUGUUUUAUUUGUAUAGUGCCAAAUCAUAAAAUACAUAGACAUUUGAAGUUUGGCCAAUUUAAGCAUUAACAAUCAAUUUACAACAACUUCCUAUUUCACAGCAAAACUUCAAAAUUCAACAUUAUGCAUCAUACAUCUUCAACUUCUUUUGACAGCACUAACCAAAUUCGAAGUUGUUGAUUGAAGAAUGCCUGCGAAUAACAAACACCAAGCAAAAAGUGUACAUCACAAUCAACAUUGCCAACGUCCUGUUCAAUUUAGGGUAUGGGUCGAAGACUUCAAAGUCUGGCCCUGAUACAUACUGUAUACCUACCAAUUUUCCUAAGCCAAAUACAAAUCCAAACCAAAGUUAUGACACAACAAUAUAAAAUAAUUCACAUGGAGGAAAAGCAAUCGAUAGCCAAUAACAUAAUCAACAAUUAUAAAGAAUAUAAAAAUAAAUCAAGAAGGAGGAAAUGCACUGAAUGAUAAAUGGAAUAAUUUUAAAACUAUUACACAAGAAGGAUUUCAAAAAUAAGUAAUAUUUUUGUCA